GUGAAUCUUGAGACAAUGGCAGAGGCAAAAAUAAUUAGUUGAAGAAACUUUAGUGAGUAUGAAAAAACGCUACUAAAACAGAAACAUAGUGGUUGGGCUGCAAUUUGUAGUGAAUUCAAUGCAGAUUAAAAUGUAAACACAAGAAGAGUACAGCAACUUCAGACUCUGUGGAAGAAUCUUAAACGGGCUUUAAAAAAGAGAGAAUGCAGAGAUCAGAAGAGAGCGAUUUACUAGCGGUUGGUUGAUCACCAAAAAAAGACAAGACUGAUGAAUUGAGUGAUUUAGCUGUCUGGAGUAAAAAGGGCACCAGCAACCUCUGGAUGGUAUACCAGAUGAUGACCAACCUCUGGAUGGUAUACCAGAUGAUGACCAACCUCUGGAUGGUAUACCAGAUGAUGACCAACCUCUGGAUGGUAUACCAGAUGAUGACCAACCUCUGGAUGGUAUACCAGAUGAUGACCAACCUCUGGAUGGUAUACCAGAUGAUGACCAACCUCUGGAUGGUAUACCAGAUGAUGACCAUUUGGGCAGUCCAGAUGAAGAACUGAGCACAAAUGAGGAAGGGAAUCUGAACAGGUUGGAAGAGCCAGUGCACAGUGAGUGUGUACCCUCCAUCUGAUAUAGCAUCCCUGAGAGAAGAUGCUGCCACCACCUUUCAGCAGAGAACAAAAAAGAUGACCAUGCAUGAGAAGUUAGCCAGAGAAUUUCAUGAGCAUAAAAUGAAAUAGCUGAAGGAAGAACAUGAAAUGAAAAUAAGAAUUCUACAGGUUGAAUUGGACAUGAAGUCGGAAGAGAGCAGUGUGAUCCAAAAAAGAUACAGUAAUAAGACAAUUGUAAUUACCAGCCAUGGUGAACAAUAUGAUAUGUAAAAAAUAAAUGUUUUGUCAUUUGGAUAUUCAUGAGUGAGAGUAUUUUAAUCACCACAAACUAUAUUUGAAACCAGCUUUGAUUUAGUCACUCACUUAAUUUUGCUGCACACUAUUUUAAUGUUGUACAGAACCAACAUUAUCAAAGCAAAAUUAAGCCAUAAUGAA
ensembl:lncRNA